rnacentral:lncRNA from 1 species
GUGUUGCAAGGGUCUACAACAACGUAUAUACAUCCGUUGGUAAACCACGUGCAGAAGUAUUGCAAAAUAGCAAUGUAUAGAGCUGAAGCGUAACAACGCUUCAUAUGCGUUGGUGGCUACCACACACAAACAAGUUUCAAAUGGACAUACCAUAUCAUUUCCACGACUAGAUGCUUUGACAUAUAUGAACAACUUAAUGGUAUUUUAUAUACUGUGAACCAAAAAUAUUAUUCCAAUGCCAAUGGAUAGGAGCGACAAUACAAUAAGUAGGAAUCCUCAUAAUAUAUUAAACAGGAUGUGUUGCAUUACAAAGAAUACGAUACAAAUAUUACAUAUGUGAAACCAUCUAGUACUGGCCUAAUUCUUGAUCAUUCAAUCAACUAUAGUGUUUGAAACAUUACACUUCAAAAUGACAUUCUAAUUAUCUAGUAAAAUCGCCAUUCUUGACCUUGCAAUCAACAUCCAUGCAUCUUGAAUUUAUCUUGGCAGUCUAGAACAACAAAGGAAUGAGAUUAGUAACCUAUGAUAGAGAAUUACAACAAAGCAGAAAGUUAUGGAGGAACCAAAGAAAGGUUGAGGGUCAUGACAUUAGUAGCUCUGUAUGUAGAAAAGGGGAGUACUAGCCUACAUAUGACAAUCACUAUUGAUCCUUGUUUUCAUCUGAACAAAAUGCUAUGUGUCGAUUGAGUAACAUAAACCUCAAAUGCAUACUAAGACAUGAGGUACCCCCUUGGAAAUAAAAUCAUGUAAUGACAUACCACACAUCUUUCGUUUGGUAAGAAAGAUCUACAGUUCUCCACAAAAUAAAAGUAGAUGCAAGAUUUCAACAAAUCAAAAAUACUGUAGUUAAAUAAAGUAAUUCACACUAGGCUAAAUUUAGCUGUGUCUAAAUUAGGUAUUGUGAUACAUGCUCACAAAUAUGACUUACCAAGACAUUGAUUUAUAUAUACAUGUGGGGCUAACUAAUAAUGUGAAUACAAAACUUUUUCAAUAGGAGUUUAUUAGUAAAAAUUCAGAUGCAGCCUAUAUCUGUGUACUAAUUUUUUAUUUUUUUUGCAUCUGCAUCAACUUACUAUAUGAAUCAUCAUAAUAAACACUAGCAGAAGGGACAUCACCAUGCUAUGAAGUACAAACAUAGAGACUUCAAGUCUUGAACAUUUCUGUAAACUGACAACAUUCUAUUCUCUCAAUUGCGGCUUGCACAAGUUCUGAAUACCCACAGCUCGUUCAGCUCAGAAUCUGCAUAGUAAAACACUGAGAUCUUUGAACAAUUGCAUGGGGCUAUUAAUUUUGAACCAUCAGCAUGUAUUUACUAUAGUAAUGAUUAUCCAAACAUUAUAUAUAUUAACAAUGAUAUGAAUUCUGGAACCAACUGAGUGACAAUAGGUAACCAAUAAUCUUGAUUAUAUAUAGUUGAAUAUUUCAAUUUCCUAAAGGCUUCAAUUUCUUUUUUAGGGGCUCUUUAUGUAAGUGUUGAUUUUUAUAUCUCCUAAUUGCAGUAUGCACAAGUCCAGAAGAUAUACCUGUUAAGAUAAAGAACAAACAAACACAUGUUGGCUGAAGCACAUAGUCAACUUCGGAACCCUAUGAGGGAAGAUGAAACUAAAGAUUAUACAAUAAAAAGAAAUAUUAUGAGAUAUAGAUGCAUGUGGGCUUAUUCCUAUAGUACUACAGAAGCGUGUGGCAGAUAUCAGUAAGGAUUCAUAACACUGGUAAGGAGAUUUUUUGUCUCUUGAAAAUCAUGAUGUUAUACAUAAUAGUGCUGACCUAUUAACUGAUACUUGAAAAAAUGUUCUCUGAUGACAUGGUCAUAGGCUAUUAACUAGGAUAUCUGCAGGUACUGUCGACUUAUUUAACUAAUCUACCAUGAUCCUCCUCACAAAAAUUAAUUAAUUAUCCACACACGUAGAAUCAAUAAAAUUAGAGCCUAAUGCAUCACAAGAAAGAACUAUUGAUGAAAAGCUACAAAAAUUAUUCCUGAAUGAACAGGUACAGAGCACAGGCAAAUGGUGAAUCGCUCAACCACAGAAGAAAAAAUUCUACCUAUGAACAUCUCAAACUGGGGUGACAAUAUGCUUCUAGAUGUUACAUUGAUGAUUGAUUGCAAAUUGUUGUAAUUGUCUGCAAUUAGAGAAGAACUCUGGUGCAACAUAAAGGUAGCAGAUAUAGUAAUAACACAAGGGAUCUUACAGGUGGUAAUUUUGAGCCUGUAACCACAUAAGCGUUGUUGUCUCUGCAGGCUGUAGAUAAACCCAUUGGAAUGUGAACUUCCUACAUAAAACUUACCGUGUUAUAAUCUUUAGGAAACAGGGUAAAUUUGUCAAAAAUAUGCUGAAAAAAUCUAGCAGAAAAUGAAAGAAGUCGUCGAUAAGUCUAAAUGAUGUAUGCUGCUUCAAAAUGAUUUUUCGAUCCGGGACAGUUGCCAUUAUCUCGUCAUUGUACAAACAUUAUUCGAAGGAUGAGGUCCUUACUGAACCAUCUGGCAUCGGUCGAGAAGUCGAGGACUCGAUGUGGAACAUCACGGUCUAGCCUGAGCCGGCAGGCGCGCGCGCGCAUACGCGGGGUAGUGGGCAGACAAACGGGAGGAGACGUGGGAGCCGCGCUAGCAAACCGUGGCGGCUAGGGUUCCUGUGGGGGCGCGUACAGGGGCGUGGAUGAUGUCGCCGCGGCAAUGGAUCGGACGAGAGCAGUGAGGGGUUCCUGAGACCAUGAGUGGGUGCGCAGGGGAGCGGAGGACGUUGCGGCAGUUGGGGAUCGAAGGAGAGCAGUAACGAGGAGCCGGGAGGUUGGGCGGCGGCGCGGAGGAACUCGCCGUGGCAAAGGAACAGAGGAAAACAGUAAGGGGGGAUGGGCUGGUGAGCGGCGGCGCAGAAGAGCACUGGAUCUAGCCGGAGUCCGCGGUUGUGGCGGCAGCUUUGUGGUCACGAAGCUCAUGAGAGAG